GAUCAUGGCUCAGAUUGAACGCUGGCGGAAUGCUUUACACAUGCAAGUCGAACGGUAGAGGGGGGCAACCCCUCGGAGAGUGGCGAACGGGUGAGUAAUAUAUCGGAACGUGCCCAGUCGUGAGGGAUAACGUAGCGAAAGUUACGCUAAUACCGCAUACGAUCUACGGAUGAAAGCGGGGGAUCGCAAGACCUCGCGCGAUUGGAGCGGCCGAUAUCAGAUUAGCUAGUUGGUGGGGUAAAGGCCCACCAAGGCGACGAUCUGUAGCUGGUCUGAGAGGACGACCAGCCACACUGGAACUGAGACACGGUCCAGACUCCUACGGGAGGCAGCAGUGGGGAAUUUUGGACAAUGGGCGCAAGCCUGAUCCAGCAAUGCCGCGUGCAGGAAGAAGGCCUUCGGGUUGUAAACUGCUUUUGUACGGAACGAAACGGUCUGGGCUAAUACCCCGGGCUAAUGACGGUACCGUAAGAAUAAGCACCGGCUAACUACGUG
rnacentral:rRNA from 1 species